rnacentral:rRNA from 1 species
UACGGGGGGGGGUAAGCGUUGUUCGGAAUUACUGGGCGUAAAGGGCUCGUAGGCGGCCAACUAAGUCAGACGUGAAAUCCCUCAGCUUAACUGGGGAACUGCGUCUGAUACUGGAUGGCUUGGAUUUGGGAGAGGGAUGCGGAAUUCCAGGUGUAGCGGUGAAAUGCGUAGAUAUCUGGAGGAACACCGGUGGCGAAGGCGGCAUCCUGGACCAAUAUUGACGCUGAGGAGCGAAAGCCAGAGGAGCAAACGGG